rnacentral:rRNA from 1 species
GAUGUGGAUUAAUUCGAUGCAACGCGAAAAACCUUACCUACCCUUGACAUGUCUGGAAAGCCGAAGAGAUUUGGCCGUGCUCGCAAGAGAACCGGAACACAGGUGCUGCAUGGCUGUCGUCAGCUCGUGUCGUGAGAUGUUGGGUUAAGUCCCGCAACGAGCGCAACCCUUGUCAUUAGUUGCUACGCAAGAGCACUCUAAUGAGACUGCCGGUGACAAACCGGAGGAAGGUGGGGAUGACGUCAAGUCCUCAUGGCCCUUAUGGGUAGGGCUUCACACGUCAUACAAUGGUCGGGACAGAGGGUCGCCAACCCGCGAGGGGGAGCCAAUCUCAGAAACCCGAUCGUAGUCCGGAUCGCAGUCUGCAACUCGACUGCGUGAAGUCGGAAUCGCUAGUAAUCGCGGAUCAGAAUGUCGCGGUGAAUACGUUCCCGGGUCUUGUACACA